AUUGAACGCUGGCGGCGGGCCUAACACAUGCAAGUCGAGCGAGCGGCGGACGGGUGAGUAAUGUAUGGGGACUGCCCGAUAGAGGGGGAUAACUACUGGAAACGGUGGCUAAUACCGCAUACUAUCGGAUAACCCAUAUGGGAUUAGCUAGUAGGUGGGGGAAAGGCUCACCUAGGAGACGAUCUCUAGCUGGUCUGAGAGGAUGAUCGGCAACACGGGGACUGAAACCCGGCCCAGACUCCUACGGAGGCGGCAGUGGGGAAUAUUGCACAAGGGGCGAAAGCCGGAUGCAGCCAGGCGGCGGGUAUGAGGAAGGCCUUAGGGUUUUAAAGUACUUUCAGCGGGGAGGCGGUACCCGAAGAAAAAGCACCGGCUAACUCCGUGCCAGCAGCCGCGGUAAUUC
rnacentral:rRNA from 1 species